rnacentral:rRNA from 1 species
UGGGGGAUAUUGCACAAUGGAGGAAACUCUGAUGCAGCGACGCCGCGUGAGUGAAGAAGGCCUUCGGGUCGUAAGGCUCUGUCCUAGGGGAAGAUAAUGACGGUACCCUAGGAGGAAGCCCCGGCUAACUACGUGCCAGCAGCCGCGGUAAUACGUAGGGGGCGAGCGUUGUCCGGAAUUACUGGGCGUAAAGAGUUCGUAGGCGGUCUGAUAAGUCAGAUGUGAAAGGCGUAGGCUUAACCUAUGUAAGCAUAUGAAACUGUCAGACUUGAGGUAAGGAGAGGAAAGUGGGAUUCCUAGUGUAGCGGUGAAAUGCGUAGAUAUUAGGAGGAAUACCAGUGGCGAAGGCGACUUUCUGGACUUAAACUGACGCUGAGGAACGAAAGCGUGGGGAGCAAACA